rnacentral:rRNA from 1 species
UACGAAGGGGGCUAGCGUUGCUCGGAAUCACUGGGCGUAAAGGGUGCGUAGGCGGUUGUUUAAGUCUGUCGUGAAAUCCCCGGGCUCAACCUGGGAAUGGCGAUGGAAACUGGGCAGCUAGAGUGUGUCAGAGGAUGGUGGAAUUCCCGGUGUAGCGGUGGAAUGCGUAGAGAUCCGGAAGAACACCGGUGGCGAAGGCGGCUCGCUGGGCAGUGGCUGACGCUGAGGCGCGACAGCGUGGGGAGCAAACAGG